rnacentral:rRNA from 1 species
GAUUUGAUCUUGGCUCAGAGUGAACGCUGGCGGCAGGCCUAACACAUGCAAGUCGAACGGCAGCACAGUAAGAGCUUGCUCUUAUGGGUGGCGAGUGGCGGACGGGUGAGGAAUACAUCGGAAUCUACCUUUUCGUGGGGGAUAACGUAGGGAAACUUACGCUAAUACCGCAUACGACCUCCGGGUGAAAGCAGGGGACCUUCGGGCCUUGCGCGAUUAGAUGAGCCGAUGUCCGAUUAGCUAGUUGGCGGGGUAAAGGCCCACCAAGGCGACGAUCGGUAGCUGGUCUGAGAGGAUGAUCAGCCUCACUGGAACUGAGACACGGUCCAGACUCCUACGGGAGGCAGCAGUGGGGAAUAUUGGACAAUGGGCGCAAGCCUGAUCCAGCCAUGCCGCGU